rnacentral:rRNA from 1 species
AACGCUGCUGGCGUGCUUAACACAUGCAAGUCGAACGAUGAAGGAGGAGCUUGCUCCUCCGGAAUUAGUGGCGAACGGGUGAGUAACACGUGAGCAAUGUGCCCUUGACUCUGGAAUAAGCGCUGGAAACGGCGUCUAAUACCGGAUACGACCUUCGGAGGCAUCUCCUGUUGGUGGAAAGAACUUCGGUUGAGGAUCAGCUCACGGCCUAUCAGCUAGUUGGUGAGGUAACGGCUCACCAAGGCGACGACGGGUAGCCGGCCUGAGAGGGUGACCGGCCACACUGGGACUGAGACACGGCCCAGACUCCUACGGGAGGCAGCAGUGGGGAAUAUUGCACAAUGGGCGCAAGCCUGAUGCAGCAACGCCGCGUGAGGGACGACGGCCUUCGGGUUGUAAACCUCUUUUAGCAGGGAAGAAGCGAAAGUGACGGUACCUGCAGAAAAAGCACCGGCUAACUACGUGCCAGCAGCCGCGGUAAUACGUAGGGUGCAAGCGUUGUCCGGAAUUAUUGGGCGUAAGAGCUCGUAGGCGGNUUGUCACGUCUGCUGUGAAAUCCCGAGGCUCAACCUCGGGCUUGCAGUGGGUACGGGCAGACUAGAGUGCGGUAGGGGAGAUUGGAAUUCCUGGUGUAGCGGUGGAAUGCGCAGAUAUCAGGAGGAACACCGAUGGCGAAGGCAGAUCUCUGGGCCGUAACUGACGCUGAGGAGCGAAAGCAUGGGGAGCAAACAGGCUUAGAUACCCUGGUAGUCCAUGCCGUAAACGUUGGGAACUAGAUGUGGGGACCAUUCCACGGUCUCCGUGUCGUAACUAACGCAUUAAGUUCCCCGCCUGGGGAGUACGGCCGCAAGGCUAAAACUCAAAGGAAUUGACGG